ensembl:lncRNA
GACGCCCAUGGAGGCCCAGAGGCUGCUGAGGCUGGUGUCCCUGCUCUGCUGUGUCCCUGCAGCCAAGGCCUGUCUGCAGUGUGACCACAAGAUCAGGAUCCUGCUCGAGGACUUUGUCCUGUCUGCUCCCACCGUGGCCGACCAGAUUGAAAUGACAAAGAUUCGCGACCAUGCCUAUGCGGAGUACAGGGCGACCAGCCAGAAGCGAAAGGGAGUCAUUGAUCCCACCACUCUUUACAGAGCCAGGACUGAGUACCAAAGUGAGUUGGACCGCUUCUUGAAAACUGAGCACACUGGAUCUGUGACAUUCGAGGCCAUUCAGAUCCUGGAGAAGGGCAGGAAGAUCUUAGAAAAACACUUGGACACAUUCAUCCGCGACGGACUGUGCCCCAACAAGUGCGGGCUUUUGAAACGAAGAGUAAUGGAUUGCUUCUCUUGCCACUACAAGAUAUACAUCUGUCCUUCCCCUUCUGGCCAGCAGGACUGCGGUGAGCUCCCAGUGCAGGCCGUGGAGGGAGGCCAGGCUGUGUUGAACUGUGGCCAUCCAUGGCAUCACCUUCUGUUGGGAGCACCAGAGUACCAUUACUCUUUGGCCCGCGGCGUGCCAGGAACUGAAAAGCUGAAGGAGAGUGAUUUCGAAGUCUUGGUGGUGACCGACGAGUCGUCCGUGGUCUUAAAUCAGCUGCACGUGGAUGAACAAGGAACAUAUCGCUGCUCCCUGCAGAGCCAAGAUGGAACCGUCUUCUACCGGGUCAUUUUCCCACUCGCUGUCGCCCUUUCGCCUGACCAGACUCACCGACCCGUCAUCGUUCUGCCCUCCCUGCCUGCAGGAGACCGCUACUCGCCUUCUCAACCGACUGCCGGCCUGCUGGUGCCGGUCGUCGCCGUGGUUACGGCCCUGAGUCUGGUCGCGAGCGUUGGCCUCACAGUAGUCCUGGGAAUGAUGAUGAGUCAGAGGAGGGCCGAGGAGAAAGAAGACGGAGGGACGAAACACACAAAACACUGUGUGAUGUAG